rnacentral:lncRNA from 1 species
AUUUCUUUAAGAAUGAAAUUUAAUCAGUUCUCAACACUUUUGAAUAAUGAUUUGCUCUAUGAAAGUGAGCUGGCAGUUCUGAAAAUAUUUUUCAGGGCCCUGUGCCCACUCACACUGAGACUAGGCAGACAUCUUGCUGUGCUGUGUUGUUGCAACUCCCUUUUUUCCUGACAGUGGAUUGAGUGAGGAGGAGACCCAAAUGAUAGCUGAGACAGACCACAUGCAGAUAUGCAUUCACAGCUGCAUGGUUGGAGCUAUAGCUGGGAUACCCAGAAGCAGAGGAUCAGACCAACAUCAGACCAACGGCUUGCAACUAAUUUUCUCCAAGUGGAUGACUUUAACCAGAACAUAUAAGGCACAUUCUAAGACACAAAGACCUUUCAUUCUCCUUCAUCUACACCCUGCACCCCUGAAGAGUAAAGAUUUUCCUUUUUCUUCUGGAGCAUCCAGUCACCUGUAAACACACCAGAUACAGACAGAACUAUAGGCCACUGUGCAAGAAGGAUGGAGAGGCUACAUUGAUCCCAAUGGACAGACUCUUGUAUUUGCGAAGAAGAAGAGAAAGAUGAAAUUUAAAUAUAAUCUAAAUUAAGUCUAUUUAAAAGCAGAUUUUUCUGUUUUCUAUUUGAAGUGGCAUAUACACAAGCUUAUAAAGCACCAAGUAAAACAGUAAGUUAUGUACUUUGCAAUCUCUGCAGUAGCUCUGCAGAGAAAUGUGACAGCCAAAGUGCUCUUCGUAAUAACUCACACAUGGCCUUCAUAAUAUCUUGUACUGAGAGACACAGGGUUGGCUGAGGCACUGUGGUUAUCCUUAUCAUUUUUUUUCAAAAGAUCAUUAACUCUUGUUUGGUAGAAAGGCAGAGAGGAUUUUGGUAGUUUGUCUGAGAAAGACAACUCUGCAGUAAUAGCUGCACUGUAAGUUGACUUCCACUUUGCUAGAUUUUGAACCCUUGGGACCUGGUUAUGGGCGAGUAGAAAUUGGCACAACUCUAUUCAUUUCAAUUAGGUCACAUCAUUUACACAAACUGAAGCUAUGGCCCAUUAUUUCUUCAUGCCUGCUCUAUCAGUGAAUCCAGGUAUGUGAUUAUAUACAAGAGUGCUCAUUAAAGUUAAUGCCAUGUACUUAAAGCCAUGAGCCUAAUGUUAAAUUGGUAUUUAAGUGCCCUGUGGUAUCAGCCUCAGAAUGCAGUGCUGCCUGCUAAGAUGUUACAACAAUUUUUUUGGAAAGGACUUGCUAAUUUGCAGUGAGCAACUUUCCUGUCAGCCAUCACAUAGACAGAUUAAUUAGCUGUUGUUUCCAGUAGUUUCCUCUGUCUCAAAAUAUUUCUUACCUUGUGCCGUGGAUGUAGAAAUAAGGAGAGAAUUCAUGGAACAUUUUCUUUAAUGAAGAAAUUACUCUUACUGAAUUAGGUUUGUCUUAAUUUGAAGCAGAACUCUGAAAUUCUCUUCCUAGUCUUGCCGUUGAAACCCAGUAAGAUC